rnacentral:rRNA from 1 species
UACGUAGGGCGCAAGCGUUGUCCGGAAUUAUUGGGCGUAAAGAGCUCGUAGGCGGUCUGUUACGUCUGCUGUGAAAACCCAGGGCUUAACCCCGGGCGUGCAGUGGAUACGGGCUGGCUAGAGGCAGGCAGGGGAGAACGGAAUUCCCGGUGUAGCGGUGAAAUGCGCAGAUAUCGGGAGGAACACCGGUGGCGAAGGCGGUUCUCUGGGCCUGUACUGACGCUGAGGAGCGAAAGCGUGGGGAGCAAACAGG